UACGGGGGGGGGCAAGCGUUGUUCGGAAUUACUGGGCGUAAAGGGCUCGUAGGUGGCCAACUAAGUCAGACGUGAAAUCCCUCGGCUUAACCGGGGAACUGCGUCUGAUACUGGAUGGCUUGGAUCCGGGAGAGGGAUGCGGAAUUCCAGGUGUAGCGGUGAAAUGCGUAGAUAUCUGGAGGAACACCGGUGGCGAAGGCGGCAUCCUGACCGGUAUUGACGCUGAGGAGCGAAAGCCAGGGGAGCAAAGCGGG
rnacentral:rRNA from 1 species